rnacentral:rRNA from 1 species
AACGUAGGAGGCAAGCGUUAUCCGGAUUUACUGGGCGUAAAGCGCGUGCAGGCGGCGCGGCAAGUUGGAUGUGAAAGCUCCCGGCUCAACUGGGAGAGGUCGUUCAAUACUGCCGAGCUAGAGGCUGGUAGAGGGAGGUGGAAUUCCGGGUGUAGUGGUGAAAUGCGUAGAUAUCCGGAGGAACACCAGUGGCGAAAGCGGCCUUCUGGACCAGGCCUGACGCUCAGACGCGAAAGCUAGGGUAG